rnacentral:rRNA from 1 species
UACGUAGGGUGCGAGCGUUGCCCGGCUUUAUUGGGCGUAAAGGGCGCGUAGGCGGCCACGCACGUCCGUUGUGAAAUCGCCCGGCUCAACUGGGCGGGGUCAGCGGAUACGGUGUGGCUCGAGCAAGCUAGGGGGCAAUGGAAUUCCCGGUGUAGUGGUGGAAUGCGUAGAUAUCGGGAGGAACACCAGUGGCGAAGGCGGUUGCCUGGAGCUUUGCUGACGCUGAUGCGCGAAAGCGUGGGGAGCGAUCCGG